rnacentral:rRNA from 1 species
GCAUAUCAAUAAGCGGAGGAAAAGAAACCAACAGGGAUUGCCUCAGUAACGGCGAGUGAAGCGGCAACAGCUCAAAUUUGAAAUCUGGCUCUUUCAGGGUCCGAAUUGUAAUUUGCAGAGGAUGCUUUGGGUGCGGGCGCCUUCCGAGUUCCCUGGAACGGGACGCCAUAGAGGGUGAGAGCCCCGUCUGGUAGGAUGCCCAGCCCGUGUAAAGCUCCCUCGACGAGUCGAGUAGUUUGGGAAUGCUGCUCUAAGGGGAGGUAUACUCCUUCCAAAGCUAAAUACCGGCUGGAGACCGAUAGCGCACAAGUAGAGUGAUCGAAAGAUGAAAAGCACUUUGAAAAGAGAGUCAAAUAGCACGUGAAAUUGUUGAAAGGGAAGCGCUCGCUACCAGACUUGGGUACGCGGUUCCGUAGGUGCUCCGCACCUGCGUACUCCUCGUGCCCAGGCCAGCAUCAGUUCUUCGUCGGGUUAAAAGGCUUCGGGAAUGUGGCUCGCCUCGGUGAGUGUUAUAGCCCGUUGUGUCAUGCCCGGUGGGGGACUGAGGUACGCGCUCCGCAAGGAUGCUGGCGUAAUGGUAGCUAGUGACCCGUCUUGAAACACGGACCAAGGAGUCAACCUUAUGUGCAAGUGCCCGGGCGUAAAACCCCAGCGCGGAAUGAAAGUGAACGUAGGUGAGAGCUUCGGCGCAUCACCGACCGAUCCUGAUGUCCUCGGACGGAUUUGAGUGUGAGCAUAUAGGGUUGGACCCGAAAGAAGAUGAACUAUGCGUGUGUAGGGUGAAGCCAGAGGAAACUCUGGUGGAGGCUCGCAGCGGUUCUGACGUGCAAAUCGAUCGUCAAACAUGCGCAUGGGGGGCGAAAGACUAAUCGAAUCUUCUGGUAGCUGGUUUCCGCCGA